GAAAAAUAUCCUCGGGUGAGGAUUAACAAAAAAAAGAAAUACACCUCUAUCUUGUUUGAGCCCCAAGCCACCAUAUAAUACCCUAAUGCCCCUCUUAAUCUCAUUAAUAUGCUGAAGUAGUAGUUCUAAUAGUAACAAUUAUUAUGGUGUGCUAAGGAGGGACACCUGUCUCCAACCUGAGGAACUGAAGUCCCAACACAUAUGCAAGACUGAAGGCACCAUUGGGCACCCAGGCAAAGUGAAGGGCUGGAUGUUCUGGGCACAGAGAACAGCACAGACACCAGCAGUGAAGAUGCAGACACAGGGCUGGGCAUAGACACCAGCACUGAAGAUGCAGACACAGGGCUGGGGAACAGAAAGAAGUUGAGGAGGGAGCGGGAGAAGGAAGUUGCAGAAGUGAGGCCAGUGAAGUGAGCGAUGUAAAGGCCUCGCAGACCACGAACUGCUACUCUGUACCCUGAGCGCAUCCUCUAAGUCAGCCACUUACUCACCAACAGCAGCCGAGGACCCAGUAGCUGUGCCUGGAUGGGCCUAGGAGCUGCGAAUUCAAAAGAUGAACAAGGCAAAGUCCCACAUGAAGGACUUCUUUUACUGGACCGGCUAUUCUGAUUGGGGAAGACGAACCACCACCUAAAGCGAAUGAUAAAUACUACAAUGAAAACAAAGCGAGUACGAUCGAGAGUGACAGGGAGACACUUUAAACUGGAUGACCCAGAAAGACCUAUCUGAGGGUGUGUUGUGAAUAACCAGAGCCAACCAUGCAAAAAUCUCCAGGAGAAGAACAUGCUAGGAGGGAGGGACCUGCCGGUGCAAAGGCCAAAAGUCUCCACUUCCUCGCGACAACCCUGAGAGCUCCUCAACUGUGCGACACAGUUACAGAACAUUUCCUUCACCACAGCCAGUCCCAGUGGACAGCGUGGGUCUAGGAGACCCGCUGGGGGAGAGAGUCAGGAGUCUUAGCUCCAGGGUUCAAUGCCUGAUUCCAAGUCACUGAAGUUCAACUGCCCAUACCUCCUGCCCCAUAUGCCAUGAGGAAACUCAUAAUAUAAAGUUUGACAGCUGAAGACACAUGUGACAACUGAAGACACAGAGAGGUUAAGCAAGUUGUCCCAGGUCAAAGAGCUGGUGGGUGGUAAAGUGGGAAUGGAAUUCGUCUUUCAUCUUCAAUGACUGAUGCAUAGAAACUUGGCCUGGCUUUUACACAUGCAUGAGGCUGUGCAAAGUGGCAGACACCCUGCGCUGGGGCACGGUAAGGAGGAACGAGACGCCUGAAACUUCCUUAAAGAUCUCCAGCUCUGGGACACCUUCUUAGGACAGCUGGUCUGGUUCCAAUCGCUGCUCUGCUCAGUGCUUUUCUCUCCACUAAAGAACAGGAAGCUUGACAAGUGACAGGCCUUGGGCACAGGCUGACCCUGUUGAGAAAUAGCCCGUCAGGAGCAAAAACUGCAUGUCCUGUGAACUCGGGGACCUGCCAGCAAAAUUCCCUGAUGCCGGAACUUUGGUUAGAGAACCUAAGUGGUGUGCUGACUGGCACUCGACGCCAAGUUUGGGGGGGGGCGGGGAGUCAGCACAUACUUCUCCGCUGAACUCCAUUUCCCAUUCGGUUUGGCAGCUUGUUUUUUGUGAAAUAAGGCCAAUCCAAGAACUCCAUGUCAACAUCGCUUCUUUUACGGGAACCACAAAUGCAGCCUCCUGGGACCUGGCUCUAUCUCUGGGCAGACAGCAAAAACAACUCCUUUUGACUUUGAAAUCAUAACAGCCUUCCCCGAGCUACCUACUUCCUUGCUUCCUCUCCCCCCUCCCCCCUCCUCUCUGAGGAAGAAAAUAAGGGACAAAGUUUGUGGGCUACAGCAUCCCAGGAUUUACUGUUGGCAGGGAAAGCUCCGGAGCUGGCCAGGCUGAGGGGGUUCUCUGGACCCCGCCGUCGGCUUUCCCUUUCUUGUGCUUCCAAGGCCUGGGGUUCCUUCCUGCCUGUCUCCCUCCGGGACCAGCUGGGUGAGUAGGCACGGCCUGGCCCCACCCCCUCAUCUCCCUGCCACAGCUGCCCUGGCGCUGGGACUCCAGGGGGGUGCAAAAGGUGCUGUGGCAUCCAAAAUCCUUUCCUAUCAGUGACGAAAAGCUGACAUGCAUGCGUCAAAUCUUCCGCAGUUCUUCAGAAUCGCUCUGCUUUGGGGAGAGGGGCCACGUUUAGCUGCUCAACACUUGAGAU